CACGUAGGGUGCGAGCGUUGUCCGGAAUUAUUGGGCGUAAAGAGCUCGUAGGCGGUGUGUCGCGUCGGCCGUGAAAACCUGCAGCUUAACUGCGGCUUGCGGUCGAUACGGCAUCACUGGAGUUCGGCAGGGAGACUGGAAUUCCGGGUGUAGCGGUGGAAUGCGUAGAGAUCCGGAAGAACACCAGUGGCGAAGGCGGCCCGCUGGCAGUGGCUGACGCUGAGGCGCGACAGCGUGGGAGCAAACAGG
rnacentral:rRNA from 1 species